rnacentral:SRP_RNA from 1 species
UGCGAUUCUUUGGCAGAGGCUGUCGUUAAAAUGGUCAGGACAGAAAUGUAGCAGCCACAGCGAGCAUCCUCUGGGUAUUGGAUCAUCAAG